AGAGUUUGAUUCUGGCUCAGAACGAACGCUGGCGGCGUGGAUAAGACAUGCAAGUCGAACGAGAGAAUUGCUAGCUUGCUAAUAAUUCUCUAGUGGCGCACGGGUGAGUAACACGUGAGUAACCUGCCCCCGAGAGCGGGAUAGCCCUGGGAAACUGGGAUUAAUACCGCAUAGUAUCGAAAGAUCAAAGCAGCAAUGCGCUUGGGGAUGGGCUCGCGGCCUAUUAGUUAGUUGGUGAGGUAACGGCUCACCAAGGCGAUGACGGGUAGCCGGUCUGAGAGGAUGUCCGGCCACACUGGAACUGAGACACGGUCCAGACACCUACGGGUGGCAGCAGUCGAGAAUCAUUCACAAUGGGGGAAACCCUGAUGGUGUGACGCCGCGUGGGGGAAUGAAGGUCUUCGGAUUGUAAACCCCUGUCAUGUGGGAGCAAAUUAAAAAGAUAGUACCACAAGAGGAAGAGACGGCUAACUCUGUGCCAGCAGCCGCGGUAAUACAGAGGUCUCAAGCGUUGUUCGGAAUCACUGGGCGUAAAGCGUGCGUAGGCUGUUUCGUAAGUCGUGUGUGAAAGGCGCGGGCUCAACCCGCGGACGGCACAUGAUACUGCGAGACUAGAGUAAUGGAGGGGGAACCGGAAUUCUCGGUGUAGCAGUGAAAUGCGUAGAUAUCGAGAGGAACACUCGUGGCGAAGGCGGGUUCCUGGACAUUAACUGACGCUGAGGCACGAAGGCCAGGGGAGCGAAAGGGAUUAGAUACCCCUGUAGUCCUGGCAGUAAACGGUGCACGCUUGGUGUGCGGGGAAUCGACCCCCUGCGUGCCGGAGCUAACGCGUUAAGCGUGCCGCCUGGGGAGUACGGUCGCAAGAUUAAAACUCAAAGAAAUUGACGGGGACCCGCACAAGCGGUGGAGUAUGUGGCUUAAUUCGAUGCAACGCGAAGAACCUUACCUGGGCUUGACAUGUAAUGAACAACAUGUGAAAGCAUGCGACUCUUCGGAGGCGUUACACAGGUGCUGCAUGGCCGUCGUCAGCUCGUGUCGUGAGAUGUUUGGUUAAGUCCAGCAACGAGCGCAACCCCUGUUGCCAGUUACCAGCACGUGAAGGUGGGGACUCUGGCGAGACUGCCCAGAUCAACUGGGAGGAAGGUGGGGACGACGUCAGGUCAGUAUGGCCCUUAUGCCCAGGGCUGCACACGUACUACAAUGCCCAGUACAGAGGGGGCCGAAGCCGCGAGGCGGAGGAAAUCCUGAAAACUGGGCCCAGUUCGGACUGUAGGCUGCAACCCGCCUACACGAAGCCGGAAUCGCUAGUAAUCGCGGAUCAGCAUGCCGCGGUGAAUACGUUCCCGGGCCUUGCACUCACCGCCCGUCA
rnacentral:rRNA from 1 species